CCGCGGUAAUACGUAGGACCCGAGCGUUGUCCGGAUUUACUGGGUAUAAAGGGUGCGUAGGCGGCCUUGUGCGUCAGAGGUGAAAUAUCCGGGCUUAACCCGGAGGGUGCCUUUGAUACGGCAGGGCUUGAGUGCGAGAGAGGAUGAUGGAAUUCCUGGUGUAGCGGUGAAAUGCGUAGAUAUCAGGAGGAACACCGGUGGCGAAGGCGGUCAUCUGGCUCGUAACUGACGCUGAGGCACGAAAGCGCGG
rnacentral:rRNA from 1 species